rnacentral:rRNA from 1 species
GUCGAGGAUCUUCGGCAAUGGGCGCAAGCCUGACCGAGCGACGCCGCGUGUGCGAUGAAGGCCUUCGGGUUGUAAAGCACUGUCGGGGGGAAGAAAAGCCGCAAGGCCUGAUCGACCCCCGGAGGAAGCACGGGCUAAGUUCGUGCCAGCAGCCGCGGUAAGACGAACCGUGCAAACGUUGUUCGGAAUCACUGGGCUUAAAGGGCGCGUAGGCGGGCUCGCCAGUCAGGGGUGAAAGCCCACGGCUUAACCGUGGAAGUGCCUCUGAUACUGCGAGUCUCGAGGGAGGUAGGGGCGUGCGGAACUUCCGGUGGAGCGGUGAAAUGCGUAGAUAUCGGAAGGAACACCGGUGGCGAAAGCGGCGCGCUGGACCUCUUCUGACGCUGAGGCGCGAAAGCCAGGGGAGCGAACGGGAUUAGAAACCCGAGUAGUCC